GACGAACGCUGGCGGCGUGCUUAACACAUGCAAGUCGAACGGAAAGGCCCUGCUUUUGUGGGGUGCUCGAGUGGCGAACGGGUGAGUAACACGUGAGUAACCUGUCCUUGACUUUGGGAUAACUUCAGGAAACUGGGGCUAAUACCGGAUAGGAGCUCCUGCUGCAUGGUGGGGGUUGGAAAGUUUCGGCGGUUGGGGAUGGACUCGCGGCUUAUCGGCUUGUUGGUGGGGUAGUGGCUUACCAAGGCUUUGACGGGUAGCCGGCCUGAGAGGGUGACCGGCCACAAUGGGACUACGAUACGGCCCAGACUCCUACGGGAGGCAGCAGUGGAGAAUAUUGCACAGUGGGCGGAAGCCUGAUGCAGCAACGCCGCGUGCGGGAUGACGGCCUUCGAGUUGUAAACCGCUGUCGCCUGUGACGAAGCGUGAGUGACGGUAAUGGGUAAAGAAGCACCGGCUAACUACGUG
rnacentral:rRNA from 1 species